CCUACCGCGUUUUACACUUUGAGCCCGAACGCUGAAAUCGCCGUCCAUCUUGUCUCCCGAUUUUUAAAGCCACGAGUAGUGCCACGUCAGCCUGCUACCACCGUUCGUCCUGAAUGAAGCUCGGCCCGAACGCCCCUCCCUCUCACUCUCUCAGCGGACCUUAUCCUAUCCGUUCCCCUCCCCACCUUGCUCGCCGCCGCACAAAUCGACACCAUAGCCGCCGCUAACCAUGCGCCAUAUCCGGCCACCGCAAUGCAACUGCGUGCCGUCGCCUUCGUACAACAUCUCCCGCCCGACGACCAUUGCCUCCGCCGCGCAGCAAGAAGCCACACAGUUCCCGCGGCGGCCUCGCGGGGAGGAGCACGGCAGGCCCUGGCGGCGGCCUCGUGUGCGGGUCAGGGCACCACACCAGGGAGACGGGUCUCGCCCUCCACGGGAUCCCGAUGCGGGGUGGAGUCGCGGUGGAGGUGCUGCUCGUGGGGGGAACGAUGGCCUGCCUCGCGCGAGUGCGGUGGUGAGGAUGUGGGAUGGCUGCGGCGGGCGGCUACGUAGCGGGUGGCAAUGGAAGCUGCCGAGUCGCGACACUAGAGGGGGAGGGAGCGGCUAGUGAUGGGGGCGAGGGCUGGGGGUUCUCCUCGUCUCACGCGGUCGCUGAGGGAAGCCAGCGGCUACUUCUGUUUCCGUUGGCAGCCGCUCCCGUUUCUGAUAUGAGUGGAUCCUGCUCCCGCUCGCCCCUGGUCAACCUCCUGCGUCGGCGCGCCACUGUCGCCUCCGCCGACUCCACCCAUGGGUGGAGGAGAUGGCCGAAUCGGCCGCCGUGACGUGCAAGCGCGGCCUGCUCCUGCACAACCACCAGCGCCAGUGGAGGAGCUGCAGCGGGGAGGUGUUCAUCUACUCAUUUUUGUCACUGGAAUAAGGUGCGCCUGUAAUGACGUCUGAUGAUUUUGCUAGGAGUUAAUCUACCUGCUAGAUGAUGAGUACGACCUGCUAGAUGAUGAGUACUAUGAGCUUUUUGAACACAAUUUGGCAUGAUGCUUGUGUAUGAAACAGUCCCUAAAAAUUGCCACGCUACACUAAAAUCAGAGUAGCACACACUUUUGACGUGAUUUAGUUACUAGAUUUGCCUUGUGAGUAGUACAGAAUUUUAGGAUUUUGGUCUAAUAAUACAUGGCAAUUUCUAAUCAUGAUGUUUAGCAAAACAUGGCAAGUUCUUAGAUUAUUUACAAAUUAUCACAGCAUGGCAACUUUAUAAUUUGUUAGUUCAUUCACCAAACUAGAGAAAAUGUACAUAUAGGUUUGCGAAACUAUGAUGUAUUUUUGCCUCGGCCACUAAAAACGUACCGGCAUGGUAGAUUUGAGACCAUGGGCACAUGGCAUAUUUAAAUUUGCUCUUCUCUACAACAUGACAAUUUCUGAAAGUUUCUAAAACAUGCCAAUCUUGAUAUACUUCAAAUAGUUUGCCACCAUUUCUCUUCAAAUGUAAGUUAGUUUUUAUUUCUCUAACAUGGCAAACUUAGUAUAUGGACCAUGGCACAAUUAAUUGAUGGACCAUGGCAAGUUUAAUUCAAGUAUCAUGGAAAAAUUAUUUUCUCUAAUAUGGCAGACUUGCCAUGUUUUUAGACACCUCUAAAAUUGCCAUGACAAAACCACUAAAACAUGGCAAAUUUUUAAAUUUUUAAAUCAUGGCAAACUUGCCAUCCUUCAAAUAGUUUACCACCAUUUUCUUUGAAUGUAGAUUAUUUGUUAUCUCUUUUUAACAUGGCAAACUUAUUUGAUGGACCGUGGCAACAUUAAUAUAUUCGCCAUGGCAAGUUUAAUCCAUGUACCAUGGCAACUAACACAAAACUUACCACGGCAAUUUAAGAUGUGCUUUUGCCUUGGCAAAUUAAGAUGUGUUUUUUAUGGUUUGUUUUGCCAUAAAAAACUAACAUAAAUUCUGAAAGUUUCUAAAACAUGGCAGUAUUGCCAUCCUUCAAGUAAUUUGUCAUCAUUCUACUUUAAAUGUAUGCUAGUUUUCAUUUUUCAAACACGGCAAACUUAAUAUAUUGACCAUGGCAAAAUUAAUUGAUGUACCAUGGCAAGUUUAAUUGCAAGUAUCAUGGAAAAAUUCUUUUGUCAUAUCACGGCCAAAUUAUUUUACAAAUGACAUUUUUCUUUAUAGAUUUUACAUGGCAAGUUUAACUCAAGUAUCAUGUCUACAUUUGCCAUGUUUUUAGACAUCUCUAAAAUUGACAUGACAAAACGAUCACUAAAACAUGGCAAGUUAUGAAAGUUUUUAAAUCAUGGCAAACUUGCCAUCUUUUGAAUAGUUUUCCACCAUUUUCUUGAAAUGUGGAUUAUUUUUUUUUAUCUCUUUUAACAUGGCAAACUUAUUUCAUGGACCAGGGCAACAUUAAAUGACCAAGUUUAAUCCAUGUACCAUGGCAACUAACAUAUACUCUUACCAUGCCAAUUUAAGAUGUGUUUUUGCCAUGGCAAAUUAAGGCAAUGACGUUUCUGGGCUUGCCCCAUUUUUGGGCUGGUCCGCUGGAGGGGAAGAGCCAGAUCGUUGUCCCUGCUAGCGACAAGUUUAUCUGAAGUGGGAUGGUUCGGGCUAGAGGGGUACUUCUACCGAACGAGUUCGUUCGUUCCAGCGACUCUCCCAGCACGAACGACUCGUUCGGGCUGGGGUAUCCUCAAGCCGAUCGUUCGGCAGUUAUCGAUGUCCAUCAAAUAUGUUUGCAUAAAAGAACUAGGACAGAUAUCACCUGAUUGUUUUUUGGGUAACCCGACGUGUGAUAGAUCCAUGUGGCCUAUUGAUGCAAA